GGAGAGGUGGCCGAGCGGUCGAAGGCGCACGCCUGGAACGCGUGUAUGCGAGAAAUCGUAUCGAGGGUUCGAAUCCCUCUCUCUCCGCCA
rnacentral:tRNA from 1 species